AGAGUUUGAUCCUGGCUCAAAUUGAACGCUGGCGGAAUGCUUUACACAUGCAAGUCGAACGAUGAACCUUAGCUUGCUAGGGGGAUUAGUGGCGGACGGGUGAGUAAUAUAUCGGAACGUGUCCAUUAAUGGGGGAUAACUAGCCGAAAGGUUGGCUAAUACCGCAUACGCCCUGAGGGGGAAAGCUGGGGAUCUUCGGACCUGGCGUUAAUGGAGCGGCUGAUACCUGAUUAGCUAGUUGGUAGGGUAAUGGCCUACCAAGGCAACGAUCAGUAGCUGGUCUGAGAGGACGACCAGCCACACUGGGACUGAGACACGGCCCAGACUCCUACGGGAGGCAGCAGUGGGGAAUUUUGGACAAUGGGGGCAACCCUGAUCCAGCCAUUCCGCGUGAGUGAAGAAGGCCUUCGGGUUGUAAAGCUCUUUCGCAAGGGAAGAAAAGAUACAAGUUAAUAGCUUGUGUUGAUGACGGUACCUUGACAAGAAGCACCGGCUAACUACGUGCCAGCAGCCGCGGUAAUA
rnacentral:rRNA from 1 species